UACAGAGGUCUCAAGCGUUGUUCGAUUCAUUGGGCGUAAAGGGUGCGUAGGUGGCGCUGUAAGUCGGGUGUGAAAUUUCGGGAGCUUAACUCCGAAACUGCAUUCGAUACUGCGGUGCUUGAGGACUGGAGAGGAGACUGGAAUUCAUGGUGUAGCAGUGAAAUGCGUAGAGAUCAUGAGGAAGACCAGUGGCGAAGGCGGGUCUCUGGACAGUUCCUGACACUGAGGCACGAAGGCCAGGGGAGCAAACGGGG
rnacentral:rRNA from 1 species